AAAAGGUGGCUAUGCUACCGCUUUUGGAUGGGCCCGCGGCGCAUUAGCUAGUUGGUGGGGUAAAGGCUUACCAAGGCAAUGAUGCGUAGCCGAACUGAGAGGUUGAUCGGCCACAUUGGGACUGAGACACGGCCCAAACUCCUACGGGAGGCAGCAGUAGGGAAUCUUCCACAAUGGGCGAAAGCCUGAUGGAGCAACGCCGCGUGGGUGAAGAAGGUCUUCGGAUCGUAAAACCCUGUUGUUAGAGAAGAGAGUGCGUGAGAGUAACUGUUCACGUUUCGACGGUAUCUAACCAGAAAGCCACGGCUAACUACGUGCCAGCAGCCGCGGUAAUACGUAGGUGGCAAGCGUUAUCCGGAUUUAUUGGGCGUAAAGGGAACGCAGGCGGUCUUUUAAGUCUGAUGUGAAAGCCUUCGGCUUAACCGGAGUAGUGCAUUGGAAACUGGGAGACUUGAGUGCAGAAGAGGAGAGUGGGACUCCAUGUGUAGCGGUGAAAUGCGUAGAUAUAUGGAAGAACACCAGUGGCGAAAGCGGCUCUCUGGUCUGUAACUGACGCUGAGGUUCGAAAGCGUGGGUAGCAAACAGGAUUAGAUACCCUGGUAGUCCACGCCGUAAACGAUGAAUGCUAAGUGUUGGAGGGUUUCCGCCCUUCA
rnacentral:rRNA from 1 species